UUUAGAGCCAGUACAAAAUAGCACAUGUUCUUUGUCUCUCAUCAUGAUUCUUCCAUCAUGGACACUAAUAAACAUCUUUGAUGUUUCCAUGAAAGGUCUUCCAAGAAUCAUGGAAUCUUCUCCUCGUCUUCCAUGCCCAUGACUAUAAAAUCAGCCAAAAAUUUCAGCUGCUCCACACGCACCACCACAUUUUCCACCAUACCAAGUGGUGUUUUAAUGUAAUCAUCUGCCACCGUCACAGUAAGAUUAGACGGUUUUAAUGUUAGCCCUCCAAUUUUCUUCAAGAAACGCUUGGGCAUCAUGUUAAUGCUAGAUCCAGAAUCCAUCAUGGCUCCUCCUAUAUCAACAUCAUUCACAAUACAUGAAAGAGUCAAACAACUUGG
rnacentral:lncRNA from 1 species